AAUACCAUAAGGCAUGGAGUUUCAAUUACCAGAAAGCUCUUGAAGCCUCUGGCAAUCCACCAAGUAAGCGAAACCAUAAGCUAGAGUCUUCAACGUAGCCUCAUGUAGCUCCAAGUCCACUGUCGCCGUCGCAUCGGUGGAGAAGAACACUCUAUAUCCUCUCACAAACGCCUCACGCGCCGUCGUCUCGCAGCAACAGUUCGUCAUAACCCCUGUCACG
rnacentral:misc_RNA from 1 species